rnacentral:rRNA from 1 species
GAUGAACGCUGGCGGCGUGCCUAAUACAUGCAAGUCGAGCGAACGGACGAGAAGCUUGCUUCUCUGAUGUUAGCGGCGGACGGGUGAGUAACACGUGGAUAACCUACCUAUAAGACUGGGAUAACUUCGGGAAACCGGAGCUAAUACCGGAUAAUAUUUUGAACCGCAUGGUUCAAAAGUGAAAGACGGUCUUGCUGUCACUUAUAGAUGGAUCCGCGCUGCAUUAGCUAGUUGGUAAGGUAACGGCUUACCAAGGCAACGAUGCAUAGCCGACCUGAGAGGGUGAUCGGCCACACUGGAACUGAGACACGGUCCAGACUCCUACGGGAGGCAGCAGUAGGGAAUCUUCCGCAAUGGGCGAAAGCCUGACGGAGCAACGCCGCGUGAGUGAUGAAGGUCUUCGGAUCGUAAAACUCUGUUAUUUGGGAAGAACAUAUGUGUAAGUAACUGUGCACAUCUUGACGGUACCUAAUCAGAAAGCCACGGCUAACUACG